rnacentral:misc_RNA from 1 species
GAUGAAGAACGCAGCGAAAUGCGAUAAGUAAUGCGAAUUGCAGAAUCCAGCGAGUCAUCGAAUCUUUGAACGCACAUUGCGCCCGCCAGCACCCUGGCGGGCAUGCCUGUCCGAGCGUCACUCCCCCACCCGUCAAGCCCUGCUUGUGCUGGGGCACUGCGGCCGUCCGCAGGCCCCCAAAUCCAGUGGCGGGACCGCCGCCGCGCCGAGCGUAGUACAGCGCCUCGCUCCGGCACGUCGGCGGCCACCGGCCGUAAAAGCCCCCCCCCCGCGCCCCAGCGCGCAAGGUUGACCUCGGAUCAGGUAGGGAUACCCGCUGAACUUAAGCAUAUCAAUAAGCGGAGGA